rnacentral:rRNA from 1 species
AGAGUUUGAUUCUGGCUCAGAACGAACGCUGGCAGCGUGGAUUAGGCAUGCAAGUCGAACGUGGAGCCGAUGAUCAAUCUUUCGGGAAAGUGAUUCGGUGGAAAGUGGCGGAAGGGUGAGUAACGCGUGGGUAAGCUACCUUUAAGUUGGGGACAACCAGAUGAAAGUCUGGCUAAUACCGAAUGUGGUCUUCUGGCACAUGUCAGGAUGACUAAAGGCGGGGAUUCUUCGGAACCUGCCGCUUGAAGAUGCACCCGCGUGCCAUCAGCUUGUUGGUAGGGUAACGGCCUACCAAGGCUUACGGCUAGCCGGCCUGAGAGGGUGACCGGCCACACUGGGACUGAGACACUGCCCAGACUCCUACGGGAGGCUGCAGUCGAGGAUCAUUCGCAAUGCGCGAAAGCGUGACGAUGCGACGCUGCGUGCGGGAUGAAGGCCUUCGGGUCGUAAACUCCUGUCAUGAGGGAAAAGUAUCCCUGCGAUUAAUAGUCGCGGGGCUCGAUGGUACCUCAAGAGGAAGCCACGGCUAACUCUGUGCCAGCAGCCGCGGUAAUACAGAGGUGGCGAGCGUUGUUCGGAUUUACUGGGCGUAAAGGGUGCGUAGGUGGUUUUGUGUGUCGGAUGUGAAAGCCCAUGGCUCAACCGUGGAAUUGCAUUCGAAACAGCAGAACUAGAGUGCAGGAUGGGAGAGCGGAAUUCUUGGUGUAGCGGUGAAAUGCGUUGAUAUCAAGAAGAACACCGGUGGCGAAGGCGGCUCUCUGGAAUGUUACUGACACUGAGGCACGAAAGCUGGGGGAGCAAACAGGAUUAGAUACCCUGGUAGUCCCAGCCGUAAACGGUGCACACUUGGUGUGGGGAGAUUUAACCCUCUCCGUGCCGGAGCUAACGCGUUAAGUGUGCCGCCUGGGGAGUACGGCCGCAAGGCUAAAACUCAAAGAAAUUGACGGGGCCCGCACAAGCGGAGGAGCAUGUGGCUUAAUUCGAUGCAACGCGGAGAACCUUACCAGGGCUUGACAUAUACCUGCAAACCCCGUGAAAGCGGGGAAUCCUUCGAGGGUGGUAUACAGGUGCUGCAUGGCUGUCGUCAGUUCGUGCCGUGAGGUGUUGGGUUAAGUCCCGUAACGAACGCAACCCUUGUGACUAGUUGCCACCGGCGGUGAUGAGCCGUCGAGCACUCUAGUCAGACUGCCCGUACAAGCGGGAGGAAGGUGGGGAUGACGUCAAGUCAGUAUGGCCCUUACGCCCUGGGCUGCACACGUGCUACAAUGGUCGGUACAAUGGGAUGCAAUAUCGCGAGGUGGAGCAAAUCCUGAAAGCCGGCCCCAGUUCAGAUUGAAGUCUGCAACUCGACUUCAUGAAG